AAAUGAGUCCCACAGUUUCUCUGUGUGAGCAAAGCUCUGGGACAUCUGCACCAUGGCCUGGGCUGCUCUCUCCCUCCUCACACUGCUCCUCCACUGCACAGGGUCCCUCUCCAACCCUUCACUGACUCAGCCGCCCUCCUCAAGUGUCUCCCUGGGAGCCUCAGCCAAGCUCAGCUGCACCCUCAACAGCGGCUACAAUAGCUACAUUGUGAGCUGGUACCAGCAGAGCCCAGGGAAGGGCCCCCAGUUUGUAAUGCUAGUGGGACCCAAUGGUCUUGUCGGAAAUAAGGGGAACGGGAUCCCUGAUCGCUUCUCAGGCUCAGGCUCAGGCCUGGAUCGAUACCUCACCAUCCAGAACUCCCAGGCAGAGGAUGAGGCUGACUACCACUGUGGGGUUGAUGAUGGUAAUGGGAGAAAACUUUUGUAACCCACAGUGACACAGGCAGAG